rnacentral:rRNA from 1 species
AGAUUCCCCCAGUAGCGGCGAGCGAACGGGGAGGAGCCCAGAGCCUGAAUCAGUGUGUGUGUUAGUGGAAGCGUCUGGAAAGGCGCGCGAUACAGGGUGACAGCCCCGUACACAAAAAUGCACAUACUGUGAGCUCGAUGAGUAGGGCGGGACACGUGGUAUCCUGUCUGAAUAUGGGGGGACCAUCCUCCAAGGCUAAAUACUCCUGACUGACCGAUAGUGAACCAGUACCGUGAGGGAAAGGCGAAAAGAACCCCGGCGAGGGGAGUGAAAAAGAACCUGAAACCGUGUACGUACAAGCAGUGGGAGCCUCUUAAUGGGGUGACUGCGUACCUUUUGUAUAAUGGGUCAGCGACUUAUAUUCUGUAGCAAGGUUAACCGAAUAGGGGAGCCGAAGGGAAACCGAGUCUUAACUGGGCGUUAAGUUGCAGGGUAUAGACCCGAAACCCGGUGAUCUAGCCAUGGGCAGGUUGAAGGUUGGGUAACACUAACUGGAGGACCGAACCGACUAAUGUUGAAAAAUUAGCGGAUGACUUGUGGCUGGGGGUGAAAGGCCAAUCAAACCGGGAGAUAGCUGGUUCUCCCCGAAAGCUAUUUAGGUAGCGCCUCGUGAAUUCAUCUCCGGGGGUAGAGCACUGUUUCGGCAAGGGGGUCAUCCCGACUUACCAACCCGAUGCAAACUGCGAAUACCGGAGAAUGUUAUCACGGGAGACACACGGCGGGUGCUAACGUCCGUCGUGAAGAGGGAAACAACCCAGACCGCCAGCUAAGGUCCCAAAGUCAUGGUUAAGUGGGAAACGAUGUGGGAAGGCCCAGACAGCCAGGAUGUUGGCUUAGAAGCAGCCAUCAUUUAAAGAAAGCGUAAUAGCUCACUGGUCGAGUCGGCCUGCGCGGAAGAUGUAACGGGGCUAAACCAUGCACCGAAGCUGCGGCAGCGACACUAUGUGUUGUUGGGUAGGGGAGCG